GCCGGGGUGGCUCAGUCGGUUAAGCGUCUGUCUUUGGCUCAGGUCAUGAUCUCACGGUUUGUGAGUUCGAGCCCCACAUCUGGCU
rnacentral:tRNA from 1 species